UACGUAGGUGGCAAGCGUUGUCCGGAUUUACUGGGCGUAAAGGAUGCGUAGGCGGAUAUUUAAGUCAGAUGUGAAAUACCCGAGCUUAACUUGGGUGCUGCAUUUGAAACUGGGUGUCUAGAGUGCAGGAGAGGUAAGUGGAAUUCCUAGUGUAGCGGUGAAAUGCGUAGAGAUUAGGAAGAACACCAGUGGCGAAGGCGGCUCUCUGGAACGCAACUGACGCUGAGACGCGAAAGCGUGGGGAGCAAACAGG
rnacentral:rRNA from 1 species